AAUUUUUGUUAUCUCUAUCCGUUGAAUGAUUGAAAGGUGCAGUGUGGAACAUCAAGUCUACUUCCAGUGCCCCAAAUGAAGAAAUCCAUAUAAUAAUCCAAAAUUGGUUUUGAUUCUCCAAAGACCAUGAUGGAGGUCGAGAAAAACGGAGAAAUGAUCCAGCACCCAAUCACAUGUAACUAGGCCAAGUGCCAAUAAGUAAAUUUUUAGAGAAUCUCAAACAUCCAUAAUCUUUUUUGUAAUAAUUUUACAAUAUACAAACUUUUCAUGCAUUUAA
rnacentral:lncRNA from 1 species